rnacentral:rRNA from 1 species
UGAACGCUGGCGGCAGGCCUAACACAUGCAAGUCGAGCGAGAAAGCACUUCGGUGUGAGUACAGCGGCGGACGGGUGAGUAACGCGUAGGAAUCUACCUGGUAGUGGGGGACAACUUGGGGAAACCCAAGCUAAUACCGCAUACGCCCCAUGGGGGAAAGCGGGGGACCUUCGGGCCUCGCGCUAUCAGAUGAGCCUGCGUAGGAUUAGCUUGUUGGUGAGGUAAAGGCUCACCAAGGCGACGAUCCUUAGCUGGUCUGAGAGGAUGAUCAGCCACACUGGGACUGAGACACGGCCCAGACUCCUACGGGAGGCAGCAGUGGGGAAUAUUGCGAAAUGGGGGCAACCCUGACGCAGCCAUGCCGCGUGUGUGAAGAAGGCCUUCGGGUUGUAAAGCACUUUCAAUUGGGAAGAAAGGUUGUUGCUUAAUACGUAACAGCUGUGACGUUACCUUUAGAAGAAGCACCGGCUAACUCC